GCAUGAUCUCAUUUUGCAUUCUCCCUCUGCAGAGACGGAGACGUCCCUGUGCUGGAAAACAAAGAUAAUUUGUCAGAAGGUGACAGCAGCAGUUCAGAGAACGCUGGAACGUCCACCGAGGACAGCUCAGAGGAGGAAAACGAGGAGGAAUCAGGUGAGAGACUUCUAUACAGGCUCAUGCCUGCGCUAAUGUUUGGUCAUGUGACUCUCAGCAAGUUGCACCUUUAAUGAGACGUUUCUGGAUC
rnacentral:lncRNA from 1 species